UACGGGGGGGGCAAGCGUUGUUCGGAAUUACUGGGCGUAAAGGGCUCGUAGGUGGCCAACUAAGUCAGACGUGAAAUCCCUCGGCUUAACCGGGGAACUGCGUCUGAUACUGGAUGGCUUGAGUUCGGGAGAGGGAUGCGGAAUUCCAGGUGUAGCGGUGAAAUGCGUAGAUAUCUGGAGGAACACCGGUGGCGAAGGUGGCAUCCUGGACCGAGACUGACACUGAGGAGCGAAAGCCAGGGGAGCAAACGGG
rnacentral:rRNA from 1 species